GGCUUUGGCGGGAGGUGGGGGAAGUGACAGAGGCCAUCCCUCUGUCCCUUCCCCUACCUCCCGCCAAAGCC